rnacentral:lncRNA from 1 species
GGAUGCAGAGUCAGCACUAGUUCAGUGUCGUGUUUAUUAAUGUGACACCUGGAGAGAUGAGGGCAAGAGGAGUCGACAGGCAGAGGUGGGUGAUGGGGGCACGGUGGGGGACAUCUGAGUGGGAAGUGAGGGCUGCUGCCACCAGCAGCGGCCCAGAGGGACAGGGAGGGUGAGGAACCACUGUCCUCACAUUGCAUCCCCAGUGGGACUAUUAGCACUCGGACCUCUUCAGGGUCUUCGUGAUAGAGGUGCCGUUGUGUGUGACCCUGCAGGUGUAGGUCUCGUGGCUUGACCAGUCGCUGGCAGACAGUGACAGGUAGCUGCUGGCCAUAUACUGGCUGUUGCUCUGCCGCUGUGGUGCUGUGGUCUCGCCAGAGCGGGUGGAGCCAUCGAUCACCCAAUCCACAGUCACUGGGCUGGGGUAGAAGUCGUUUAUCAGGCACACCAGGGUGGCCUUGGUGGCUUCGUUCAGCUCCUCCUUUGACGGUGGGAAGAGGGUGAUGGUGGGGGCCACCUUGGGCUGGCCUAGGACGGUCAGGGUUGUCCCGGCCCCAAAUAUACCA